rnacentral:rRNA from 1 species
CUGCCUACGCGCAGCAGUGAGGAAUAUUGGUCAAUGGGCGAGAGCCUGAACCAGCCAAGUCGCGUGAAGGAUGACGGCCCUACGGGUUGUAAACUUCUUUUGUCAGGGAGCAAUUGGGUCCACGCGUGGGCUUAGCGAGAGUACCUGAAGAAAAAGCAUCGGCUAACUCCGUGCCAGCAGCCGCGGUAAUACGGAGGAUGCGAGCGUUAUCCGGAUUUAUUGGGUUUAAAGGGUGCGUAGGCGGAAUAUCAAGUGAGCGGUAAAAAUUCGGGGCUCAAACCAGUGGUGCUGUUGAAAGUG